AUCGAACGCUGGCGGCAGGCCUAACACAUGCAAGUCGAACGAGUGGCGGACGGGUGAGUAAUGGCUGGGAAAAUGCCUGAUGGAGGGGGAUAACUACUGGAAAUGGUAGCUAAUAACGCAUAAUAAAGGAUCUGCCGAUCUGGGAUUAGCUAGUAGGGGGUGUAACGGCUUACCUAGGCAAGGAUCCCUAGGUGGUCUGAGAGGAUGACCAGCCACACUGGAACUGAGACACGGUCCAGACUUCUACGGGAGGCAGCAGUGGGGAAUAUUGCACAAUGGGCGAAAGCCUGAUGCAGCCAUGCCGCGUGUAUGAAGAAGGCCUUCGGGUUGUAAAGUACUUUCAGCGGUGAGGCGGUACCCGAAGAAGAAGCACCGGCUAACUCCGUGCCAGCAGCCGCGGUAAUAC
rnacentral:rRNA from 1 species